UAGCUCAGUUGGUGGAGCAUGGCGCUAGCAGCACCAGGGUUGUGGGUUCGAUUCCCAC
rnacentral:tRNA from 1 species